GAUGAACGCUAGCGGGAGGCCUAACACAUGCAAGCCGAGCGGUAUUUCUUCUUCGGGAGAGAGAGAGCGGCGUACGGGUGCGGAACACGUGUGCAACCUGCCUUUAUCUAGAGGAUAGCCUUUCGAAAGGAAGAUUAAUACUCUAUAAUAUAUUAAUUGGCAUCAAUUGAUAUUGAAAACUCCGGUGGAUAGAGAUGGGCACGCGCAAGAUUAGCUAGUUGGUGAGGUAACGGCUCACCAAGGCAAUGAUCUUUAGGGGGCCUGAGAGGGUGGUCCCCCACACUGGUACUGAGACACGGACCAGACUCCUACGGGAGGCAGCAGUGAGGAAUAUUGGUCAAUGGGUGCAAGCCUGAACCAGCCAUCCCGCGUGAAGGAUUAAGGUCCUAUGGAUUGUAAACUUCUCUUGUAUAGGGAUAAAUCUACCCUCGUGAGGGUAGCUGAAGGUACUAUACGAAUAAGCACCGGCUAACUCCGUGCCAGCCGCCGCCGUAAUAC
rnacentral:rRNA from 1 species